UACAGAGGGUGCAAGCGUUGUUCGGAUUUACUGGGCGUAAAGCGCGUGUAGGCGGCGGCGUAAGUCGGAUGUGAAAUCCCUCGGCUUAACCGAGGACGUGCAUCCGAUACUGCGUCGCUUGAGUGCCGGAGGGGAUGGCGGAAUUCCCGGUGUAGAGGUGAAAUUCGUAGAUAUCGGGAGGAACACCUGUGGCGAAGGCGGCCAUCUGGACGGUAACUGACGCUGAGACGCGAAAGCGUGGGGAGCAAACAGG
rnacentral:rRNA from 1 species